rnacentral:sRNA from 1 species
UCCCCACCUUCACCCCUUCGGCCACCUUCACUGGAGAGUAGCCUCUCGCGUAUCGGUCCUGCGGCCUCUCGGAUGGUGGUGGGGUCUGUGACCUCCCCUACCUGGCAGGGGAGGAGGGGCAAGCACAUUCGGGCCUUGACCUGGACCACACAGCCCCCGCCUCCCCCAGGGCUUCUCGGAUGAGCGGCACGGGGACGUGGUGGUGGUGCGGCCCAUGCGGGACCACACCCUGAAGGAGGUCGCUUUCUACAACCGCCUGUUCUCUGUUCCUUCUGUCUUCACACCAGCCGUCGACACCAAGGCCCCUGAAAAGGCCAGCAUCCACCGGCUGAUGGAGGCUUUCAUCCUCAGGCUGCAGACCCAGUUCCCCUCCACUGUCAGCACUGUGUACAGGACAAGUGAGAAGCUGGUGAAAGGCCCCCGGGACGGCCCUGCUGCCGGCGACUCCGGCCCCCGCUGCCUCCUCUGCAUGUGUGCCCUGGACGUCGACGCCGCUGACAGUGCCACGGCUUUUGGGGCUCAGACCUCCUCGCAUCUCUCCCAGAUGCAGUCACCCAUCCCCCUGACUGAGACCCGGACACCCCCGGGGCCCUGCUGUUCUCCAGGGGUGGGCUGGGCCCAGCGCUGCGGCCAGGGGGCCUGCAGGAGGGAGGACCCCCAAACCUGCAUUGAGGAGCAGCUGUGCUACAGCUGCCGCGUGAACAUGAAGGACUUGGGCCUGGGGCUUGCAGGAGAUCCGGGACUGUCUGAUUGAGGACAGUGACGACGAGGCAGGCCAGAGCUGAGCGUGAGGACGUGCUGGCCGGGACAGCAGGCAGUGGCCACCUGGUCCACCACACUGGAGCCGGAAGGCAAGGACGGGGGACUGGCCUCUGAUUGUCCAUUUGUAUAAAUAAAA